rnacentral:pre_miRNA from 1 species
GUGGUAUUCCCUCCGUCCCAAAAUUCUUGUCUUACAUUUGUUUAGAUACGGAUGUAUCUAACACUAAAAUGUAACUAGAUACAUCCGUAUUUAGACAAAUUCAAGACAAGAAUUUUGGGACGGAGGGAGUACAAA